AACGAACGCUGGCGGCAGGCCUAACACAUGCAAGUCGAGCGAGGACUUCGGUCCUAGCGGCGGACGGGUGAGUAACGCGUGGGAACGUGCCCUUUGCUUCGGAAUAGCCCUGGGAAACUGGGAGUAAUACCGGAUGAGCCCUUUGGGGGAAAGAUUUAUCGGCGAAGGAUCGGCCCGCGUUGGAUUAGGUAGUUGGUGGGGUAAUGGCCUACCAAGCCGACGAUCCAUAGCUGGUUUGAGAGGAUGAUCCGCCACACUGGGACUGAGACACGGCCCAGACUCCUACGGGAGGCAGCAGUGGGGAAUCUUAGACAAUGGGGGAAACCCUGAUCUAGCCAUGCCGCGUGAGCGAUGAAGGCCUUAGGGUUGUAAAGCUCUUUCAGCUGGGAAGAUAAUGACGGUACCAGCAGAAGAAGCCCCGGCUAACUCCGUG
rnacentral:rRNA from 1 species